UGUUGAUGGAACUAUGGGGAAAGAAAUUUUAUUCUAUAGGAUUUAGAGCCUUAGAGUUCAUUUAAUCUCUCUUCAUUUUACAGAUGGGGAAACUAAGGCCUCAAGAUUUGAGGUUAAUUGAUUUGGCUAAGCUCACACAGUAAUGUAAGAAGUAUUAGAGCUAGAAUGUAAGUCUAUCUUUUAAAAAAUGAAUUACAAAAAACAAUCGUAGCAAAUAUAACUAAGAGAGGGGCAAGUGAUGGUAGGAAUCAGAAAGAUCUGAAUUCAAGCCACUUUCUCAGUGUAACAGGUAACUCUUAAGAUGAUUAAUUGAAAAGCAAAUAACUUGCAUUAGUAAAGGAAAUGUUCUCAUCAGGAGUGAGUUGGUCAAUUAUCCAGUCAUCCAGUUACUAAAGAUUUAUUAUAUGGCAGGCAAUUGUGUUAAUCAAUAGUUCCUGUCCUUAAGAAGCUCACAAUCUAAAUGGGGAAAACAAGAAAGAAACUAAAAAUGAAGUGGGGAAGGGAAAGAAGGACUUGGUUCAAAGUAUGACAGAUGUCCAAAAGCAAUGAAGUCUGUGGAAAAUGAGAUGAUGACUGUCCUGGAAGUCCUCUCCUUCAAGGAAGGCUUGGAGCCCAUGGUUCCUCACUCCACUGAGAGGAUCCUCUCUGAAGGGCAGAGGAUGAUGAUGAGAUGCGAAGGUUCAUUGGAUCUUGCAGGAUGAUGAGCUUUUCCACUGAUGAGUUUUCUAGUACAUGAUAGUAGGUGGUAUGAUAUUAUGUAUGAUGGGUUAGUCCAAAGACAUACAAAAGCAGAAAAUGUCAGAGGAGGGAUUUUAACCAGUCCUUGGCUUGGAGGCUGGCACUCUUAUCUAUUAUAACAUGCUAUAUCUCUUAACUAUUUUAUAAAUGCAUGGGCAAUUAACCUUUCAGGAGGUUAAAUUCUCUCAAAGGGAACAAAAUUAAUUGUCUUUUAUGGUUAUGAGAAGAAUAAAUAUGGGGAAUAAUGAUAUUAGAAAAUAGCAUUAUUUAGGGCUGAUUUGUAGACUAAAAUAGAAUGGCAGUGCCAAAAUUAGUGGCUAAAAUACAUCAUGGAAUUUAUUAAAUUUACUUAGUAUGGAAGUUUCCCUUCAGGAUAUAAUUUUCUGAUCUCUGUGAUUAUAAAAAUUGGUUGGUAGGAAACAGGUAUUUGAGUUACCUACACCAGUGAAAUCAAAGGUCUAGGCCAAAAUAGAACAAUGUAAAAUUUGCUUUGCCACUACUAACAUUUAGAUAAAAUGAAUUUCUAGCCAUAAAAUGUGGUAACUUGGCAUCACGCCAAGACUUUAUCAAGAUUCUUUAUCUAUUCAUUUCCAU
rnacentral:lncRNA from 1 species